GUGGGGUAACGGCCUACCAAGGCUAUGACGGGUAGCUGGCGUGAGAGCGCGAGCAGCCACACUGGGACUGAGACACGGCCCAGACUCCUACGGGAGGCGGCAGCGGGGAAUAUUGCGCAAUGGGCGAAAGCCUGACGCAGCGACGCCGCGUGGGGGAGGAAGGCCUUAGGGUUGUAAACCCCUGUCAGACGGGACGAACCGUGUGUCGGUUAAUAACCGGCAUGCCUGACGGUACCGUCAGAGGAAGCUCCGGCUAACUCCGUGCCAGCAGCCGCGGUAACACGGGGGGAGCGAGCGUUGUUCGGAAUUACUGGGCGUAAAGGGCGCGUAGGCGGCCGAGUCAGUCGCGUGUGAAAGGCCGGGGCUCAACCCCGAGCACUGCACGCGAUACUGCCCGGCUAGAGAAAGGUAGAGGCGAGCGGAAUUCCCGGUGUAGCGGUGGAGUGCGUAGAUAUCGGGAAGAACACCUGUGGCGAAGGCGGCUCGCUGGGCCUUUUCUGACGCUGAAGCGCGAAAGCGUGGGGAGCAAACAGGAUCAGAUACCCUGGUAGUCCACGCCGUAAACGCUGGGCACUAGGUGUCGGGAGGCUUGGCCCUCUCGGUGUCGAAGCUAACGCAUUAAGUG
rnacentral:rRNA from 1 species